AGUGAACGCUGGCGGUAGGCCUAACACAUGCAAGUCGAACGGCAGCACAGUAAUAGCUUGCGCUUUCGGGUGGCGAGUGGCGAGCGGUGCCGAAAAAUCUGGAAGGUUGUUUUGUAUUGGGUCAGAACGUAGGAAAUCUUACCGUAUAACCCCUGAGGACCAACGUGGGAAAUCAUGGGACCUCCGGCCCUUAGGUGAUGCGAUGUCGGAUUAGCUAGUUGGCGGGGUAAAGGCCUACCAAGGCGACGAUCCGUAGCUGGUCUGAGAGGAUGAUCAGCCACACUGGAACUGAGACACGGUCCAGACUCCUACGGGAGGCAGCAGUGGGGAAUAUUGGACAAUGGGCGAAAGCCUGAUCCAGCCAUACCGCGUGGGUGAAGAAGGUCUUCGGGUUGUAAAGCCCUUUUGUUGGGAAAGAAAAGCAGCAGGUUAAUACCUCGCUGUCCUGACGGUACCCAAAGAAUAAGCACCGGCUAACUUCGUG
rnacentral:rRNA from 1 species